UNCAGNGGCAUCGNNAAAGUANCUUGGCUACUUUGCCGGCCAAGCNGANGCANGGNCUGCAGGUAAUGUUCAUGGGNAAACUGCCUGCAUGNUAGGGGNAUAACUACUNNCAUACGGCUAACUAAUACCNCNUGACCUCGNAAGAGCANAGUGGGGGACCUUCGGNCCUCUNACCUUCCGAUGUGCNCNCAUGGNAUUAGCUANUANGUNAGGUNAUUACUCACCUAGGCGACNAUCCCUUAGCUGGUCUGAGAGGAUGACCAGCCACACUGGAACUGAGACACGGUCCAGACUCCUACGGGAGGCAGCAGUGGGGAAUAUUGCACAAUGGGCGCAAGCCUGAUGCAGCCAUGCCGCGUGUGUGAAGAAGGCCUUAGGGUUGUAAAGCACUUUCAGCGAGGAGGAAGGGUUCAGUGUUAAUAGCACUGUGCAUUGACGUUACUCGCAGAAGAAGCACCGGCUAACUCCGUGCCAGCAGCCGCGGUAAUACGGAGGGUGCAAGCGUUAAUCGGAAUUACUGGGCGUAAAGCGCACGCAGGCGGUUUGUUAAGUCAGAUGUGAAAUCCCCGAGCUUAACUUGGGAACUGCAUUUGAAACUGG
rnacentral:rRNA from 1 species